rnacentral:rRNA from 1 species
GCGUGUGUGAAGAAGGCCUUAGGGUUGUAAAGCACUUUCACCCACGAAGAUGAUGACGGUAGUGGGAGAAGAAGCCCCGGCUAACUCCGUGCCAGCAGCCGCGGUAAUACGGAGGGGGCUAGCGUUGUUCGGAAUUACUGGGCGUAAAGAGCGCGUAGGCGGCUCGUAUAGUUAGGUGUGAAAGGCCUGGGCUUAACCUGGGAACUGCACUUAAUACUGACGAGCUUGAGUCCGGAAGGGGGUGGCGGAAUUCCCAGUGUAGAGGUGAAAUUCGU